GCUGAAAUUAGAGAGAAAGGGAGGAAGAACACUCUCUCAAGUUCUCUCCCUUGGUUGAUCUUCAAACCACCAUAACUUUUGAUCUAGAGCUCCGAUUGCCGCUCCGUUUGCGGCCACGCGUUCACCGCGGAGAGCUCUACAAAACUCAUACAACCAAUCUUGAGGACCCAACUCUCUUGAAGGAGAAGGUUAAUCUUGUCUCCUUGGACCUUGGGUGUGGUUGUGUAUGUGUGGAUAUUGGAGCUUGAUUGGUGAUUUUGAAAAGCUUGGAAAGGGCUUGGUGGUGAAAAAUCUGUUCUUGGAGGUAUUGAGGCCUUGAGAGCUUGUGGAUAAGUGGUCUGGAAGUGCUCCGGGUGAGCUUGGGAAAAUCGGCUAAGAUGCAGGACGUGAGGUUUCCCGUUGAGGCAUGCUGGAGGUUUCUAGACUUGCGAAGAUCCUUUGUUCUCGG